rnacentral:rRNA from 1 species
AUUGAACGCUGGCGGCAUGCCUUACACAUGCAAGUCGAACGGUAGCGCGGGGCAACCUGGCGACGAGUGGCGAACGGGUGAGUAAUGCAUCGGAACGUGCCCAGUAGUGGGGGAUAGCCCGGCGAAAGCCGGAUUAAUACCGCAUACGACUUAUGGGUGAAAGCGGGGGAUCGCAAGACCUCGCGCUAUUGGAGCGGCCGAUGUCAGAUUAGGUAGUUGGUGGGGGAGAGGCCUACCAAGCCUUCGAUCUGGGGCUGGUCUGAGAGGACGACCAGCCACACUGGGACUGAGACACGGCCCAGACUCCUACGGGAGGCAGCAGUGGGGAAUUUUGGACAAUGGGCGCAAGCCUGAUCCAGCCAUGCCGCGUGCGGGAAGAAGGCCUUCGGGUUGUAAACCGCUUUUGUCAGGGAAGAAACGCUCUGGGUUAAUACCUCGGGGUAAUGACGGUACCUGAAGAAUAAGCACCGGCUAACUACGUGCCAGCCGCCGCGGUAA